rnacentral:rRNA from 1 species
ACUUAAAUUGAAGAGUUUGAUCAUGGCUCAGAUUGAACGCUGGCGGCAGGCCUAACACAUGCAAGUCGAACGGUAGCACAGAGAGCUUGCUCUCGGGUGACGAGUGGCGGACGGGUGAGUAAUGUCUGGGAAACUGCCUGAUGGAGGGGGAUAACUACUGGAAACGGUAGCUAAUACCGCAUAACGUCGCAAGACCAAAGAGGGGGACCUUCGGGCCUCUUGCCAUCAGAUGUGCCCAGAUGGGAUUAGCUAGUAGGUGGGGUAAAGGCUCACCUAGGCGACGAUCCCUAGCUGGUCUGAGAGGAUGACCAGCCACACUGGAACUGAGACACGGUCCAGACUCCUACGGGAGGCAGCAGUGGGGAAUAUUGCACAAUGGGCGCAAGCCUGAUGCAGCCAUGCCGCGUGUAUGAAGAAGGCCUUCGGGUUGUAAAGUACUUUCAGCGGGGAGGAAGGUGUUGUGGUUAAUAACCGCAGCAAUUGACGUUACCCGCAGAAGAAGCACCGGCUAACUCCGUGCCAGCAGCCGCGGUAAUACGGAGGGUGCAAGCGUUAAUCGGAAUUACUGGGCGUAAAGCGCACGCAGGCGGUCUGUCAAGUCGGAUGUGAAAUCCCCGGGCUCAACCUGGGAACUGCAUUCGAAACUGGCAGGCUAGAGUCUUGUAGAGGGGGGUAGAAUUCCAGGUGUAGCGGUGAAAUGCGUAGAGAUCUGGAGGAAUACCGGUGGCGAAGGCGGCCCCCUGGACAAAGACUGACGCUCAGGUGCGAAAGCGUGGGGAGCAAACAGGAUUAGAUACCCUGGUAGUCCACGCCGUAAACGAUGUCGACUUGGAGGUUGUGCCCUUGAGGCGUGGCUUCCGGAGCUAACGCGUUAAGUCGACCGCCUGGGGAGUACGGCCGCAAGGUUAAAACUCAAAUGAAUUGACGGGGGCCCGCACAAGCGGUGGAGCAUGUGGUUUAAUUCGAUGCAACGCGAAGAACCUUACCUACUCUUGACAUCCAGAGAACUUUCCAGAGAUGGAUUGGUGCCUUCGGGAACUCUGAGACAGGUGCUGCAUGGCUGUCGUCAGCUCGUGUUGUGAAAUGUUGGGUUAAGUCCCGCAACGAGCGCAACCCUUAUCCUUUGUUGCCAGCGGUCCGGCCGGGAACUCAAAGGAGACUGCCAGUGAUAAACUGGAGGAAGGUGGGGAUGACGUCAAGUCAUCAUGGCCCUUACGAGUAGGGCUACACACGUGCUACAAUGGCGCAUACAAAGAGAAGCGAACUCGCGAGAGCAAGCGGACCUCAUAAAGUGCGUCGUAGUCCGGAUUGGAGUCUGCAACUCGACUCCAUGAAGUCGGAAUCGCUAGUAAUCGUAGAUCAGAAUGCUACGGUGAAUACGUUCCCGGGCCUUGUACACACCGCCCGUCACACCAUGGGAGUGGGUUGCAAAAGAAGUAGGUAGCUUAACCUUCGGGAGGGCGCUUACCACUUUGUGAUUCAUGACUGGGGUGAAGUCGUAACAAGGUAACCGUAGGGGAACCUGCGGUUGGAUCACCUCCUUACCUUAAAGAA